UACGUAGGGGGCAAGCGUUGUCCGGAUUUACUGGGCGUAAAGCGCGUGUAGGCGGCCACGCAGGUCCGUUGUGAAAACUGGAGGCUUAACCUCCAGACGUCGACGGAAACCGUGUGGCUAGAGUCCGGAAGAGGAGAGUGGAAUUCCUGGUGUAGCGGUGAAGUGCGCAGAUAUCAGGAAGAACACCAAUGGCGAAGGCAGCUCUCUGGGACGGUACUGACGCUGAGACGCGAAAGCGUGGGGAGCGAACAGG
rnacentral:rRNA from 1 species